UGGGGAGAAAGCCUGGCUUCAUUCAAAUAAGUGGGAGUUUUACAAUGAUUUACAUGGGCCAGAAUUUCAUCCUUGUUUAUAUAGUUUUACAGCCAGGAUGAAGAACUCUUAGGAUGCCUGGGCCAGAAAAAGAAACCUUGAAUCUUAACACUGCUGCGAACAGUUGGGAAUUUCCCUCAGAAGUACAAAAAUCUGGUCAAGUUAGGACUAAUCCUGGACCCAAACAUGAUGGCUGAAGAGUUGCUGGACUGGAUCCUACAGACCUUGUACAAAACAAAAAACAAAACAAAACAAAACAAAACAAAAUAAAACCAAACAAAACAGACAAACCUUACAGUCCUGCUGACACAGGUUGGAUUUUUGCCGGAGGGAGACCUACUAGCUUUGACACUUGGUGAGUGAAAAAUGAAAUUGUCGGGGUGACUUUCCCAUUUUCUUCAAAUAAAGAUGGCAAAACUCCCACCAAAAGCAACUGUCCACACAGAAUCAGUUUGGGUUCUUCUAGGCAGAACUCACCAGAGAGAAUCAGAGUUGAAUCUCACUGAUAUGCUUGUGCC
rnacentral:lncRNA from 12 species